ACUUUUGACGGUGGAUCUCUUGGCUCACGCAUCGAUGAAGAACGCAGCCAGCUGCGAUAAGUAGUGUGAAUUGCAGAAUUCAGUGAAUCAUCGAAUCUUUGAACGCAAAUGGCGCUCUUGGGUUCUCCCAGGAGCAUGUCUGUCUGAGUGUCGGACAU
rnacentral:rRNA from 1 species